rnacentral:other from 1 species
UAUUAUCUACCGUGUUCGAUAAUGAUUAAACAUUUUGACCAACACUUAGACAUAGGGAGCUUGAACUCUACCUGCGGCGUAGAAGCCUUAGAUGGACCUAUAAACCAGGUAGGAGAGCACCCACUUGGCAGACCAGGGAUCAAAAUUCCAAAUCAACCGGCACGGUGGAUGAACU